GGAAAAACACACAAAAAUAACUCUUCACCAGACCACCCCUGAAGCCGCCGACCACCCUUCACCCAUCGAAAGCCCUCCGUUCUUCAUCUUCUUCAACACUAGAAGAACCAGACGAUCCCAGCCCGCCACUAUCAGACAUCGCCUCCGUUCCCACCCUAACACCACUAUCUCACCAGGCAAACGACCCUCCCCACGCCGGAAAACACCCACAGCAGACCCUUCUCCACCUUCUUCUCCAACCAGAUCAAUAGACACAUUAACGCAGCCAGGAAGACCAACCUAGUCAGCCCGCCUCUACACUGUGUUCACCCAGUCAAGUUCUGUCCGUCUCGAGUUUUCUGGUCGAGCUUCGAUAACUGAGUUUCGACAACUGUUUCCGUUGAUUCCGCGUCGAGUCUUAUAGACUGUUCAACGUUAUUUGAGCCCUGUUGCCGUCUGAAUUUGUCGUCGCUAGUUAGUCGUUGUUCGUGGUUCCGAUUUGGUUCACGUUCCCUGUUCGUGGCUGAGUUUGUUUGACAUAUCAGGUUCUAUUCAAUACUAUCUCACAAUUUGUAAACUGUUCCUGGUCGUAAACAGUAAGCUUUUCCAUUUGUACUAAUUGAGAUAUACCUAUAAAUUUCAACUGCUCGUGUUAAUUCUGUAAUACCUUGCAAAUUAGCGUCUAUGUUACUGGUUUUUGUACUUUGUUUGUGUUAUUCGUAUGGCAUAUAUGUUGCGUCGUUAUUGCUUGAAUCCAAUCAGGCUAUAAAAACCUUCGUAUAGAUAUAGAGGUUGCGGUGGGCAUAUAAUCCUUAUUAUUUGAGAUUAGACUAGUUAUAAUACCUCUUGUUGAGACUAAUUGGUUUUAUUAGUAUUAAAUAAAUAGAUUCUAGAAUACUCAUGUAUGAUAAAUGGACACUGUCCAUGUAUUCGAUGAAGAGUAUUUUCCGUAGAAG
rnacentral:lncRNA from 1 species